GUGCCCCGGGAAGAGGAACAUAAAAAGGAUUCCCUAGUACGGCGAGUGAACCGGGAAGAGCUCAAAUUUGAAAUCUGGCAGUCUUCGAUUGUCCGAGUUGUAAUCUAUAGAAGCGUUUUCCGUGCUGAACUGUGUAUAAGUCCCUUGGAACAGGGUAUCAAAGAGGGUGACAAUCCCGUACUUUACACAAUCAUCAGUGCUCUGUGAUACGUUCUCUACGAGUCGAGUUGUUUGGGAAUGCAGCUCAAAAUGGGUGGUAAAUUCCAUCUAAAGCUAAAUAUUGGCGAGAGACCGAUAGCGAACAAGUACCGUGAGGGAAAGAUGAAAAGCACUUUGGAAAGAGAGUUAAACAGUACGUGAAAUUGUUGAAAGGGAAACGAAAUUCAUGAAUCAUGUUUAUUGGACUCAGCCGUUCUUCGGUGUACUUCCUUUAAACGGGUCAACAUCAGUUUUGUCCGAUGGAUAAAGGUAGUAGGAAGGUGGCUCUCUCGGGAGUGUUAUAGCCUAUUGCUGCAUACAUUGGAUGAGACUGAGGACUGCAGCUUGCCUUUAUGGCCGGGGUUCGCCCACGUUCAAGCUUAGGAUGUUGACAUAUUCUCGAAUCACGACCCGUCUUGAAAACACGGACCCA
rnacentral:rRNA from 1 species